UACGUAGGGUGCAAGCGUUGUCCGGAAUUAUUGGGCGUAAAGAGCUCGUAGGCGGUCUGUCGCGUCGGCUGUGAAAUCCCGAGGCUCAACCUCGGAACUGCGUCUGAAACUACUCGACUAGAGUACUGGAGAGGGUAACGGAAUUCACGGUGUAGCAGUGAAAUGCGUAGAUAUCGUGAGGAACACCAGAGGCGAAGGCGGUUACCUGGACAGUUACUGACGCUCAGGCACGAAAGCAUGGGGAGCAAAAGGG
rnacentral:rRNA from 1 species